rfam:Epibiont metagenome ALV_AC_013_H11.y01, whole genome shotgun sequence.
CGUCCUUCAUGGCAACAUGAAGGAUGAUCGGGGAGGAGUCAGCAGAGGUCAUAGUAGUUCCUCCAUGCGGAAUGAAGGAC